GAUGAACGCUGGCGGCGUGCCUAAUACAUGCAAGUCGAGCGAACGGACGAGAAGCUUGCUUCUCUGAUGUUAGCGGCGGACGGGUGAGUAACACGUGGAUAACCUACCUAUAAGACUGGGAUAACUUCGGGAAACCGUAGCUAAUACCGGAUAAUAUUUUGAACCGCAUGGUUCAAAAGUGAAAGACGGUCUUGCUGUCACUUAUAGAUGGAUCCGCGCUGCAUUAGCUAGUUGGUAAGGUAACGGCUUACCAAGGCAACGAUGCAUAGCCGACCUGAGAGGGUGAUCGGCCACACUGGAACUGAGACACGGUCCAGACUCCUACGGGAGGCAGCAGUAAGGAAUCUUCCGCAAAGGGCGAAAGCCUGACGGAGCAACGCCGCGUGAGUGAUGAAGGUCUUCGGAUCGUAAAACUCUGUUAUUAGGGAAGAACAUAUGUGUAAGUAACUGUGCACAUCUUGACGGUACCUAAUCAGAAAGCCACGGCUAACUACGUG
rnacentral:rRNA from 1 species